CACGACAUCAUCAGAUACUCUUGACGGUUAUCCAAACUAAAUCUGCUCUAUCCACCCUCUCUGAUAUUUUUCCCAUCAUUUCUCCCCUCUGUUCUUCACACUCGCUUACUCACACCCUCUUAGUUCCUGGGCCUCAUACUUCUAUCUACUUCAUACACAACACAAAUCAACACUCGUCGUCACAACUCCUUCACAUAACAACACUCCUUAUCGACACUCCCUCUUUCUUUCCACAUCUAUUAGAACCCUACAGCAGGAUUGAUACUUCCUACCUCUCUGCUAACACCACUUGUAUUUUUCCCUCCUCUUCUUCAUUAUGGAUAAAUUCAUUGGCAAAUCCUCCUCUAAAAGACAUAACAGCAAACCUCAAAG